UAAGCGGAGGAAAAGAAACUAACAAGGAUUCCCCUAGUAACUGCGAGUGAAGCGGGAAAAGCUCAAAUUUAAAAUCUGGCGGUCUUAGGCCGUCCGAGUUGUAAUUUAGAGAAGCGUCUUCCGCGCCGGACCGUGCACAAGUCUCCUGGAAUGGAGCGUCAUAGAGGGUGAGAAUCCCGUCUUUGGCACGGAUGCCUGGUGCUUCUGUGAUGCGCUCUCGAAGAGUCGAGUUGUUUGGGAAUGCAGCUCAAAAUGGGUGGUGAACUCCAUCUAAAGCUAAAUAUUGGCGAGAGACCGAUAGCGAACAAGUACCGUGAGGGAAAGAUGAAGAGCACUUUGGAAAGAGAGUGAAACAGUACGUGAAGUUGUUGAAAGGGAAACGCUUGAAGUCAGUCGCGUCGACCGAGACUCAGCCUUGCCUCGGCUUGGUGUACUUCUCGGCCCGACGGGUCAGCGUCAAUUUUGCUCCUCGGAUAAUGGCAAGGGAAAGGUGGCACCUUUACGGGUGUGUUAUAGUCUCCUGUCGCAUGCGAGGGGUGGGAUUGAGGAACUCAGCGCGCACCUUGGUGUCGGGGCUUCUGCCUACGUCACGCGCUUAGGAUGCUGGCGUAAUGGCUUUAAACGACC
rnacentral:rRNA from 1 species